rnacentral:rRNA from 1 species
AGACUCCUACGGGAGGCAGCAGUGGGGAAUUUUGGACAAUGGGGGCAACCCUGAUCCAGCCAUGCCGCGUGAGUGAAGAAGGCCUUCGGGUUGUAAAGCUCUUUCGGCCGGAACGAAAUCGCGUACGUGAAUAACGUGCGUGGAUGACGGUACUGGAAGAAGAAGCACCGGCUAACUACGUGCCAGCAGCCGCGGUAAUACGUAGGGUGCGAGCGUUAAUCGGAAUUACUGGGCGUAAAGCGUGCGCAGGCGGUUCUGCAAGUCAGAUGUGAAAUCCCCGGGCUUAACCUGGGAACUGCGUUUGAAACUACGGAGCUAGAGUGCGGCAGAGGGGGGUGGAAUUCCACGUGUAGCAGUGAAAUGCGUAGAUAUGUGGAGGAACACCGAUGGCGAAGGCAGCCCCCUGGGCCGACACUGACGCUCAGGCACGAAAGCGUGGGGAGCAAACAGGAUUAGAUACCCUGGUAGUCCACGCCCUAAACUAUGUCAACUAGUUGUCGGGGAAGCAAUUCUUUGGUAACGAAGCUAACGCGUGAAGUUGACCGCCUGGGGAGUACGGUCGCAAGAUUAAAACU